GUGCCCGGGCAGCCUGGCGCAAAAGGUCGCGCAGCGGGAGUGUGUCCCUGCCGUCAAACGAGGCCCCGAACGUCCCCACUUCCGCCGUACAGGCUCUCACUGUCGUAAAUUAGGACGGGGACGGGGACGGGGGGGCGCUGCCGUCAAGCGCGGCGCGAGGUCGCAAAAGCGGCGGGCGGGAAAAAAGACCCCCGGGGCAAGGCGAGAGGCGGCGGGGCAGAAGGGCCGGUAUCGGGGGGAGAGCUAGGAAGGUGGGUGCAACCAUAGAGGAGCAGCGGCGCGCCCCGCCCCCUUUGGCCGGACGCGACCAAUUCCCGCUGGGGCCCCGCCCACCGCGGCGGAAGGGCCCCGCCCACCACCCGUCACCAAGGCGACGCCCGGCGCCAUUUUGGCGUGGGGAGGUGGCCGCCAUUUUGGGAAGGGCGGGGAGAAGGCGGCCGGUCCCAACCGUCCCGCCCCGUCCCCGACCCUGCCGGGGACCCGGCGGGUAGACGGAGGUGGAGCGGGACGGACAGGGCCCCCCCGGGGCGGCCGCCGCCGCCGCCAUGGCCGCCGUCUGGCAGCAGGUACUCGCCGUGGAUGCCAGAUCCAGCGUAUCGAACUCCUUGCUUUAUAAAGCUGCUACCAUCUGUAUACAGUUCCCAGUCCGGUCACUCCAAUGGUACAUCCUUCAGAUCUUCACGACUGGAAUAAGCAUACUCAAUAGCAGCCAGGUAAUCAUGUUCCAAUUG